GACGAACGCUGGCGGCGUGCUUAACACAUGCAAGUCGAACGGAAAGGCCCUGCUUUUGUGGGGUGCUCGAGUGGCGAACGGGUGAGUAACACGUGAGUAACCUGCCCUUGACUUUGGGAUAACUUCAGGAAACUGGGGCUAAUACCGGAUAGGAGCUCCUGCUGCAUGGUGGGGGUUGGAAAGUUUCGGCGGUUGGGGAUGGACUCGCGGCUUAUCAGCUUGUUGGUGGGGUAGUGGCUUACCAAGGCUUUGACGGGUAGCCGGCCUGAGAGGGUGACCGGCCACAAUGGGACUGAGGUACGGAGCAGAGUGCAACGGGAGGCAGCGGUGGAGAAUAUUGCACAAUGAGGGGAAGCCUGAUACGGCGACGCCGGGUGCGGAAUGACGGCCUUCGGGUUGUGAACCGCUUUCGCCUGUGACGAAGCGUGAGUGACGGUAAUGGGUAAAGAAGCACCGGCUAACUACGUG
rnacentral:rRNA from 1 species